AGUGAACGCUGGCGGUAGGCCUAACACAUGCAAGUCGAACGGCAGCACAGUAAGAGCUUGCUCUUACGGGUGGCGAGUGGCGGACGGGUGAGGAAUGCAUCGGAAUCUACUUUUUCGUGGGGGAUAACGUAGGGAAACUUACGCUAAUACCGCAUACGACCUACGGGUGAAAGCAGGGGAUCUUCGGACCUUGCGCGAUUGAAUGAGCCGAUGUCGGAUUAGCUAGUUGGCGGGGUAAAGGCCCACCAAGGCGACGAUCCGUAGCUGGUCUGAGAGGAUGAUCAGCCACACUGGAACUGAGACACGGUCCAGACUCCUACGGGAGGCAGCAGUGGGGAAUAUUGGACAAUGGGCGCAAGCCUGAUCCAGCCAUACCGCGUGGGUGAAGAAGGCCUUCGGGUUGUAAAGCCCUUUUGUUGGGAAAGAAAAGCAGCAGGUUAAUACCCCGCUGUUCUGACGGUACCCAAAGAAUGAGCACCGGCUAACUUCGUG
rnacentral:rRNA from 1 species